GAUGAACGCUGGCGGCGUGCUUAACACAUGCAAGUCGAACGGUGAAGGCGGAGCUUGCUCUGCUGGAUCAGUGGCGAACGGGUGAGUAACACGUGAGCAAUCUGCCCCUGACUCUGGGAUAAGCGCUGGAAACGGCGUCUAAUACUGGAUACGAGCUGCGAAGGCAUCUUCAGCAGCUGGAAAGAAUUUCGGUCAGGGAUGAGCUCGCGGCCUAUCAGCUUGUUGGUGAGGUAAUGGCUCACCAAGGCGUCGACGGGUAGCCGGCCUGAGAGGGUGACCGGCCACACUGGGACUGAGACACGGCCCAGACUCCUACGGGAGGCAGCAGUGGGGAAUAUUGCACAAUGGGCGAAAGCCUGAUGCAGCAACGCCGCGUGAGGGACGACGGCCUUCGGGUUGUAAACCGCUUUUAGCAGGGAAGAAGCGAAAGUGACGGUACCUGCAGAAAAAGCGCCGGCUAACUACGUG
rnacentral:rRNA from 1 species